rnacentral:lncRNA from 1 species
GCCUGGUUUUUUGUGUCAUUAUCAUUAGAGAUUGGUGGAUCAUCCACGGCUCUUUGCCAUGUUUAGGAAUCCAUUCAAGUCUUAAAGGGUGUGGUGGGUCUAAUUUUAUCACCAUCUAUGCUAUAUAUGGAAUUUUGUCUCAUCAUCCUGCUUUAGCUUUGAAAUCGAUGAUCCAUCGAAGUCGGUUAAAUUCCGUCGACUU